UGCUGUGAAAUAUAUUUUCAAUAAUAUCGUUUUUACAGCUGUUUGAAGCUGGUGUACCAAAACCGAAAGUAAAAGGCUCAAGCGCAAGUCUCUGCCAUGUUAGGGGAAUUGGGGUACGGGGGAGGGAGGAUAUUUGUUUUGAAUGCAAUCUAAUGCUAUGUGAAUUGCAAGAUAUUUCACAGUGAUUUAGAUGGUCCCUACACUAUUCAGUGCUUGUUUUCUCACAUAAACUGAUAUUGAGCGAACAAUGAAGAACUUUAGCAACCAGGAUAUGACAACGCGAUAUCCACUAGAUAAUACAGCCACAAAGUCAGAACAGCUUUCCCGUUUUUACGUCAGAUGCCGCUCCAGCGGGAGAAAUCAAAAGGCUAAUAUCAGUCAAUCACAACACUGGUGGCCUUGAAAAAGUCACAAUCCGAGAUGGAAGCUAUGAAGAAACAAUCCGAUGGACUGACCAAAGAAUACGACCGACUGCUGAAUGAACACCAGAAUCUUCAAGAGAGUGGAGACAAAAAGGAUGAUUGAUCGUGCUUAUGAUUACAGCGGUCAGAACGUUUACAGGUCGUACCAAGAAACCAGAAAAAACACUUUCACGCACGCUAUCACUUUGCAUGGCUGUACAAGCUUCAGAUUACAGUGGUCUACUGUGAAUGUAUUUUUGAUGUAAUGGGCUUGCUAUGCAGUUUUUUUCCUGUACAUGGCAAGAGCACCAUUGCAUUCAUAUCAAUUAUGUCUAUAUUCCAGUUUUUUACCUUAGCAACUAUGCAGACUACAGAUGUAAUUGUAUGUGUUUUGUAUAAAAAAAAUAGCAUCGAGUUCAUUGGGGGUAGAGUAGCCAUAUUGAGUCAUUUUUGUUGUUGAAUAUUUGAUAUAAAUGGUGAUGUUUUGUUUCCAUUCCUCUGGAGAUAUUCUACAUAUUUAGAUGUUAAGUGGUUUGUGAAUAUUACACAGGGUCAGGGUUAGGCUAGAUUGAAAAUCCAAUAUUGGGUCAUGAUUUUCUGUUUUGUAAUAAGGAUUCUCAAACAGUUACAAAAGUGUGAGGAAAUUCCUAUUCCCUCUUCUCACUCUGACCCCCUGUAGUGUGUCACACACAACUGAAGAUUGUAUAAACUAAUAAAACCAGAGAGUAUGACUGUCCCAGCCCAGGGGUUUGGUUGGGUAGACAGGGUCAGCACUUGGGAUUGAUAAUUGACCUACAAAUCUUCCUCUAGCCCCCAUCCCCUUAGUACUUACAGUGCCUUCAGAAAGUAUGCACACCCCUUGUCUUUUUCCACAUUUUGUUCUGUUACAGCCUGAAU